CGCCGGCGAUGUUUCAUUCAAAUUUCUGCCCUAUCAACUUUCGACGGUAGGGUAGUGGCCUACCGUGGUGGUAACGGGUAACGGAGGAUUAGGGUUCGAUUCCGGAGAGGGAGCCUGAGAAACGGCUACCACAUCCAAGGAAGGCAGCAGGCGCGCAAAUUACCCAAAUCCCAACUCGGGGAGGUAGUGACAAGAAAUAACGAUGCUCCGGCCAUCGGUCGGGUAAUCGGAAUGAGGACAAUUUAAAUCCCUUAUCGAGGAUCAAUUGGAGGGCAAGUCUGGUGCCAGCAGCCGCGGUAAUUCCAGCUCCAAUAGCGUAUAUUUAAGUUGCUGCGGUUAAAAAGCUCGUAGUCGGAUUUCGGGUGGUGCCUACCGGUCCGCCUUUGGUGUGUACUGGUAGGCGCUACCUUUCUGCCGAGGACGGGUUCCUGGGCUUAACUGUCUGGGGCCCGGAGUCGGCGACGUCACUUUGAGUAAAUUAGGGUGUUUAAAGCAGGCUUAUGCUCUGUAUACACUAGCAUGGGAUGACACGAUAGGACUUCGGUCUAUCUUGUCGGUCUGUAGAUCGGAGUAAUGAUUAAGAGGGACAGUCGGGGGCAUUCGUAUUUCGUAGUCAGAGGUGAAAUUCUUGGAUUUACGGAAGACGAACUUCUGCGAAAGCAUUUGCCAAGGAUGUUUUCAUUGAUCAAGAACGAAAGUCGGGGGCUCGAAGACGAUUAGAUACCGUCGUAGUCUCGACCAUAAACGAUGCCGCA
rnacentral:rRNA from 1 species